rnacentral:tRNA from 1 species
GGAAUUUACUGUCGUAAGAAGAAGCUUCUAACUCCCUCAAGAGCGGUUAAACUCCGUUCAUAUUCCU